UGCCAAGGGGGUUAACAAAUAAGAGCUCUUUGGCUCCUAUAGGAGUGAGACAAAUUGACAAAGUCAAUGCUGCUGCUUUUUAACCUGCUUCUUGCUCCAUUCAAAAUAAGGCCUCUGUUAAACAUUAGUUGGGCAACCAGACUAUCAGGUUACAUAUCACUUGGUGCUUCUUGUCUGUCAGUUUGCAAAGACCGACUACACAAAGAAUAUGAAGGUUGAGAGCCAUGACACUGCACAGCCACAGAGUAUGAAGGGAAUACUUUUUUUAAAAAGUCAGCGAGAGGCACUUGUGUUCCACCACUGUCUCAAGGAGAGGCACAUGUUAAACCACUAAAAUGAGGAUGAAGUUUGAGGGAACUUCAGACAGAGAUAAAUAUUUCCUGAGAUUCAACAAUCGCCAGAAGGUUUUUGAAAAACUUGGAGAGAUGGGCUCAUCAUUUUCACUAUUUUCUAUAUUAUUCUCUAAACAUCAAGUGUGUAUUCAAAGACCAAAGGAGCUCCAUUCAAGUGGGAACCCCUUCUGUGACAUCACAACUCGGAGAGACGCUCAGAGCUGCCUGAAUCUUGCUGAUCCUCCGCCGGGCUGGAUAGAUUCUCUCUUUCUGGCUGCUGCCGGCAGAACUUGCAAAGAAGAAGCAGAUGCGCCAUCAGGGUAGGAGGCGACAGCACAAUUCCACGCCACCCAGACUCUCCCUGCCCCUGCCGACACUUGUCCACCAAGCAACGAGGCUCCACGCUGCCAGGGUAUGGAGUUUCUGUCUCAAACGUGGCCAGUGAACACAAGCACCGCGAACCGCACAGGGACCUUAGCACUGUUGACUCAGCAUUCCUCCUCCUCUUCUGAGGCCCCCCUUUACAGCGACUACCAGCCACCUGCCUUUAACUUUAUCCCUGUGCCCAAGGCUGUGCUCUACAUGCUCAUGGCUGCUGCUGUGGUGGUGGGUGUGGCCUAUGCCAUUGUUGGGCACCUGAUCAAGGACCUGGCACAUGACUUGGCAGGUGAGUCUGGAUGUUGAUGCACAAGCUAUAACCUACAUAGCAGAUGAUUGCCUACUAGGACCACAGCCUGAGGAACCUGACAAGGAAGAGCCAGAUCCCCCACCUACAGGCUACCAGCCCUCUCUCCUGGCCAAGAAUCAUACCUGUACCUGCUCAACGCACAACCUUGAGGCCGUGCACAUCACCCUACAGGAGACUCCACACACAACAUAGGGACAGAACAGCUUUGCAGCAAGGAAAUGGCAAAUGCAAUGAAGAGGCAGUCCUGUGUUGAAUGUAAGAGCAUGCACAGCAGACCAUGAAAAGGACCCGGCUGAGCAUGUCAAGGAGCAAUGAGACUGUUUGAUACAGUUGCUCCAUCCUCUCCAGAGAACACAAGCUGGAUUGCACAAUAGAUGCUUGUUGCUUCUCCAGCAGCAUUAAUUCUACUUCCUGGAGACCUGCAUGAGUCUCUGCUCCCUGCUUCUUGCUACAGAAUGAGAAGGGAGAACUCUUGGAGAAAUCCACCCAUCCAGGAAGCCGCACAAACCAGCUUUCUGAGCACGAAGACCACAUGCCCUGAAGUGAAAUGGACUUCUGUCUUAGCUGUCAUUGCUUCUAGGAGGUGGAAGAGCUGGACUCUGGAAUGAGACAAGGAGGCAGAGCCUAGCAAAUGGGGCUUUGCAGUCAGAGGUGUCAAACAUGGCUUCAACUGGGGGAGAACUUUAUAUCAGGAAGUGGAAUAAGGUUUGGGCAGUGCAAGGGGUACCUGCAGCCUUGCCACUUUUGGGGGGGGAGGUACAAUAAAAUCCAUCUGUGCACCUUG